GAUGAACGCUAGCGGCAGGCUUAAUACAUGCAAGUCGUGGGGCAGCAUGAGUAGCAAUACUUGAUGGCGACCGGCAAACGGGUGAGGAACACGUACACAACCUUCCUUCAAGCGGGGAAUAGCCCAGAGAAAUUUGGAUUAAUACCCCCAUAAUAUAUUUGAUAAGGCAUCUUAUUAAUAUUAAAGCUUCGGCACUUGAUGAUGGGUGUGCGGCUGAUUAGAUAGUUGGCGGGGUAACGGCCCACCAAGUCUACGAUCAGUAGCUGAUGUGAGAGCAUGAUCAGCCACACGGGCACUGAGACACGGGCCCGACUCCUACGGGAGGCAGCAGUAAGGAAUAUUGGACAAUGGACGAAAGUCUGAUCCAGCCAUGCCGCGUGAAGGAUUAAGGUCCUCUGGAUUGUAAACUUCUUUUAUAUGGGACGAAAAAGGGCAUUCUUGUUCACUUGACGGUACCAUAUGAAUAAGCA
rnacentral:rRNA from 1 species